CGUGUCCCUGCGUCACCAAAGCAAUGAGAAUUUGCACAAAGAAAACACAGUUCUCCAAUUGUGACAAAUAUGAGACCGUGAGCCAUGAAAUACGAGAACAAGCAACUGUUUAAAUGCCAUGGGCAAAUUUUUUUUAUCAUCUUGAAAACAUCACUGAUGUUCUAGGAAGAAAUUCUUGAAGACGACUCUCUGACCUGAAGGGAUUGAUGGAGGAGAAAAGAAAAGAAGACAAGCAUUUUUGGCCCACAAAAAAUGAGAGGUAACCAGAUGGUGGCUAGUAUUCAUCGCACCUCUCUGCCCUCCCCAAUUUCACAUGCCCCUCCCAACUCAACUCAUCAGAACUCGACUGAAGGAGACGGCUGUGCAAAUUUAUUGGAAGCC